GCCGGGUCCUAAGGCGAGGCCGAAAGGCGUAGUCGAUGGAUAGCAGGUUAAUAUUCCUGCGCACCUGUUGAGAUCGAAGCAUAGUGCGGAUCUCCAAGCUCUUCUGGACUGCUAGUUGUCCAGGCCUUCGGGCCGUUGAAGGGGGAGGGGGUUCCUAGAAAAGCUAUGUGGGCAAUACAGGUCCCGUACUAAAACUGACACAGGUAGACGAGGCGAAUAGCCUCAGGCGCUCGAGAGAAUGGUUGUGAAGGAAUUAGGCAAAAUCACUCCGUACGUUCGCAAGAAGGAGGCCCUUCGGGGCGCAGAGAAAAGGUCCUGGCAACUGUUUAUCAAAAACACAGCACUGUGCUAACUCGCAAGAGGAUGUAUACAGUGUGACGCUUGCCCAAUGCCCGAAUGUCACGGGAGCAGGUUAGCUUCGGCGAAGCUUGCAACUUAAGCACGGGUCAAUGGCGGCCGUAACUAUGACGGUCCUAAGGUAGCGAA
rnacentral:rRNA from 1 species